rnacentral:rRNA from 1 species
CAAUCAAGUGCCUUAAGGGUGUUCGGUGGAUGCCUUGGCGAUGAGAGGCGACGAAGGACGUGCUACGCUGCGAUAAGCCGUGGGGAGCUGCGAAGGAGCUUUGAUCCACGGAUUUCCGAAUGGGGAAACCCACCUUCGAUAGCCGAAACUCUAAGUUCACAACGACGCAAGUCGGUGUGGAUUUGGAUUUUCGGUUAUCAAGUGAAGGUAUGAGACUUCUGAAUACAUAGGAGGUUUCAAGCGAACCCAGGGAACUGAAACAUCUAAGUACCUGGAGGAAAGGACAUCAACCGAGACUCCGCUAGUAGUGGCGAGCGAACGCGGACCAGGCCAGUCAUAAAUGUGAGACAACCAGAACCUGUCAGGAAAGCAGGGCCUCAGAGGGUGAUAGCCCCGUAUGGGUAAUGCAAACAUUUAUGCUCGAGUAAGGCGGGACACGUGAAAUCCUGUCUGAACAUGGGGGGACCACCCUCCAAGCCUAAGUACUCCUCAUCGACCGAUAGUGAACCAGUACCGUGAGGGAAAGGUGAAAAGCACCCCGACGAGGGGAGUGAAAUAGACCUGAAACCGGACACCUACAAACAGACGGAGCCCAAGAUUAGUUCUGGGUGACGUCGUACCUUUUGUAUUAUGGGCCAGCGACUUAAUUUAACGAGCAAGCUUAAACCGAUAGGUGUAGGCGUAGCGAAAGCGAGUCUUAAUAGGGCGCCAAGUUCGUUGUAUUAGACCCGAAACCUAGUGAUCUAGCCAUGAGCAGGUUGAAGGUGAGGUAACACUCACUGGAGGACCGAACGGGUGUCUGUUGAAAAAGACUCCGAUGACUUGUGGUUAGGGGUGAAAGGCCAAUCAAACUGGGAAAUAGCUGGUUCUCCGCGAAAGAUAUUUAGGUAUCGCCUCGGAUGAAUACCUCAGGGGGUAGAGCACUGGAUGGGCUAGGGGGACUUACCGUCUUACCAAACCCAACCAAACUCCGAAUACCUGAGAGUACUAUCCGGGAGUCACACGGCGGGUGCUAACGUCCGUCGUGGAGAGGGAAACAACCCGGACCUACAGCUAAGGCCCCUAAUUCGUGGCUAAGUGGGAAAGGAUGUGGGAAUCCCAAAACAACCAGGAGGUUGGCUUAGAAGCAGCCAUCCUUUAAAGAAAGCGUAACAGCUCACUGGUCUAAAUAAGGGUUCCUGCGCCGAAGAUGUAACGGGGCUCAAGCCACGAGCCGAAGCUUAGGGUGUGCGCGCAAGCGUACGCGGUAGCGGAGCGUUCUGUAAGCCUGCGAAGGGCGACCCGUGAGGGCGCCUGGAGGUAUCAGAAGUGCGAAUGCUGGCAUGAGUAACGACAAACAGUGUGAAAGACACUGUCGCCGAAAGUCCAAGGGUUCCUGCGUAAAGUUAAUCUUCGCAGGGUUAGCCGGUCCCUAAGGCGAGGCCGAAAGGCGUAGUCGAUGGGAAUCACGUGAAUAUUCGUGAGCCAGUGGAUGGUGACGAAUCCCUUAUGUUGUCUGACCUUAUUGGAUUGGUCGGGCCUCGACGGGGUUCCAGGAAAUAGCCUCCACAUUAGACCGUACCCGAAACCGACACAGGUGGACUGGUAGAGUAUACCAAGGCGCUUGAGAGAACUAUGUUGAAGGAACUCGGCAAUUUACCUCCGUAACUUCGGGAUAAGGGGGCCCUCUAUGUACGCAAGUGCAUAGGGGGGGCACAGACCAGGGGGUGGCAACUGUUUAGCAAAAACACAGGGCUCUGCGAAAUCGCAAGAUGACGUAUAGGGUCUGACGCCUGCCCGGUGC